rnacentral:rRNA from 1 species
UGCAGAGGUCCCAAGCGUUGUUCGGAUUCACUGGGCGUAAAGGGUGCGCAGGUGGGUUGGCAAGUUUGAUGUGAAAGCCCCGGGCUUAACCCGGGAAUGGCAUUGAAUACUGCUGAUCUGGAGGAUUGGAGGGGGGACUGGAAUUCUUGGUGUAGCAGUGAAAUGCGUAGAUAUCAAGAGGAACACCAGUGGCGAAGGCGAGUCCCUGGACAAUACCUGACACUGAGGCACGAAAGCCAAGGGAGCAAACAGG